rnacentral:rRNA from 1 species
UACGUAGGGCGCAAGCGUUUAUCCGGAAUUAUUGGGCGUAAAGAGCUCGUAGGCGGUUUGUCGCGUCUGCCGUGAAAGUCCGGGGGCUCAACUCCGGAUCUGCGGUGGGUACGGGCAGACUAGAGUGAUGUAGGGGAGACUGGAAUUCCUGGUGUAGCGGUGAAAUGCGCAGAUAUCAGGAGGAACACCGAUGGCGAAGGCAGGUCUCUGGGCAUUAACUGACGCUGAGGAGCGAAAGCAUGGGGAGCGAACGGG